rfam:Triticum aestivum genome assembly, contig: Triticum_aestivum_CS42_TGACv1_scaffold_408411_5BL
UUUGUACUCCCUUCGUCUGAAAAAACUUGUCCCAAGCUUGUCCAUCUAAUGGAUGUAUCUAGCACUAACUUGGUACUAGAUAUAUCCAUUUGAGGGACAAGUUUUUCCGGACGGAGGGGGUACACC